UAGAAUAGUGUAUAAUAGUUUGGUUCUAAUUUAUGAAAUUAAAGGCAGAGAUUGUCUGGUUCGUGUUCGCCUCCUCCCAUUCUGAAACAGAACGAGAGAGGGUGUGAGAGGGAGAGAACAAGGGAUAGGGCGAGAGACUUGACUAAGGGAGCAGAGAGAGGCGGAGGGAGGACAGAAGAAAAAAGGGGGGCAGAGAGAGAGAGAGAGGCGUGAAGGAGAAGAAUAGACUGGAAGGAGGACUUGGUGACAGAGAAGAGGAUUGGGAUUGGUUUGUUUUCUGAAGGGCUAUAUCGUUUACAGAUGUGUGUCACUACUGCCCUCACAACAGCCGCCAGCAAAACAAUGAAGAGUAGAGAAGACUCCCUUCAAUCGAUUCUGCGUUGGCAUGAGCGCCUUGGACACCUUAUUUUUGAAAUUCUAAGACAGUUAUUUACUGAUCUGUGUUCCAGGUUAGAUAUGACUAUGGUGUCUUGUGAUGUCUGUCACCUGGCCAAACAUGUUAGGGCUUCAUACCCUGUGUCUACCCAUCGUUCUAACGAGGUGUUUGCCAUGAUUCACUCUGAUGUAUGGGGGCCUUCGGGAAUUCUUUUUUGUCAUGGUUUUUAGUAUUUUAUCACCUUUAUAGAUGAUUGUUCUCGUAACGCCAUUGUUUAUUUACUGAAAGACCGUAGUGAAGUUCCUACUAUCAUAGAGACUUUCAUUGCUUGUAUGGAAACUCAAUAUGGAACAUCUGUUAAGACCUUACGGUCUGACAAUGCUCGUGAGUAUACGUGUCAUUCUGUUGAUAGCUUCUUUCAGAAAAAGAGAAUUGUUCAUGAAACUUCUUGUAGUUAUACUCCUACUCAAAAAGGAGUUUGCUGAACGAAAGAAUCGCCAGUUACUAAAUAUGUCUCGGGCAUUUCUUUUUCAACGUCAUUUCCAAAAAAAUAUUGGGGGGAUGUUGUGUUGACCAGUGUGUAUCUAAUUAACUAUAUGCCUAGUCGUGUGUUGAAUUGGCAGACGCCCCACUCUAUGUUACCGAAGAGUCGUGAACCUUUAUCUCUUCCACCUAGAGUUUUUGGAUGUGUUUGUUUUAUUCACAAUCAUAGUUCUAAUAUUAAAAAGCUUGAUCCUAGGUCAGUUAAGGGCAUUUUUCUAGGUUAUUCCCCCACUCAAAAAGGAUAUAAGUGUCGAGACCCUUCCACAGGUCGUGCCCAUGUUACCAAAGAUGUCACCUUCUUGGAACAUGCUUCAUAUUUUGGUGAGAAUUCUCUUCAAGGGGAGAGGUCUACAAUGAGAGAAGAGUAUUCUCCCAGUCAUGAGAUUCAGUCUACGGAUUUUUUGGAAUACAAGAAGGAAGAGAUUGAGGUUACUAACCCUUUAGAGCACAAUGAGGAUGAUGGAUGUUCUCCUGUGGAUAAGGAGAGACAUGACCAUUUGUUUGGACAAGUUUACUCUAGGCAAAAGUCGCCUGCGGCAGGACCCACUGAUGGAGCUGACGAAGCGAUGCUCUCUGGGGACAAAAAUCCUACUCCAAAUCCUAAUGCUACUCCUUUCUUGGAUGACCCAAGCCGUGCCCAAGAAAUGUCAGUUGAAGGUACUCAGGCAGAGGCUAAAAGUGAAGAUUUACCUAUUGCUCUUAGAAAGGGUGUCUAGUCAUGUACUCAACACUCUAUUGAACUAUUGCUGAAGCUCAAGGUGAUUCCAAGUGGGUUGAUGCGAUGCAAGAAGAAAUGGAAGCCCUAAGAAGAAACAUGACAUGGGAAGUUGUAAAGAUCUCUAAGGCAGCUCACUUGGUUGGAUCCAAGUGGAUCUACACCAUCAAAUACAAACCAGAUGGAAGUCUUGAAAGAUACAAAGCUCAUCUUGUGGCCAAGGGGUUUAGUUAGAAAUAUAGAAUUGAUUACUUGGAGACCUCUGCUCCAGUUGCAAAAAUGAAGAAAGUUAGAGUUGUUAUUUCCCUAGCUGUGAUGAAGGAGUGGAGGAUGUAACAACUGGAUGUUAAGAAUGCAUUUCUCAAUAGCGAUCUCGAAGAGGAGGUGUAUAUGCGUAUGCCCCCAGGAUAUGAAGAACCAGAAAAAUGCUGGAAACUAAAAAAGGUUUUAUAUGGCCUCAAGCAAUCGCCGAGAGCAUUGUUCGAAUGACUCAGACGAGUAAUGCAACAUUAUGGCUACGAUCAAGGGAAUGGAGACCAAACUCUGUUUAUGAAGAGGAAAGAAGGGAAAGUCACACUGUUACUUGUUUAUGUGGAUGACAUGAUUGUUACAGGUGAUGAUGAGGAUGAAAUCACAAAGCUAAAAGUGUUACUAGUUGUCGAAUUUGAUCUCAAGGAUCUUGGUAAACUGAGGUACUUUCUUGGUAUUGAGAUUGCUAGGUCCAGUAUCGACCUUGUGUUAAAUCAAUGGAAAUACACACUAGAUCUAUUGGAGGAGACCGGUAAGCUGGGGUGUAGACCAUACUCCUCUUGAUGCUGGGUGCAAGUGGAGCCUUAAAGAUGGGGAGUUACUCUGUGAAAAAGCCAAAGGAAGAUAUCAACGUCUUGUUGGAAAGUUGAUUUAUCUUACCCUCACUCGACCAGAUAUCACUUUUGCUGUGAAUGUACUGAGUCAAUUCAUGCAUGCCCCGACAGAUGCACACUUGAAGGUUGUGUUGAUACUAGAAGGUCUACCUCAGGGUACUGUGUCUACUUGGGAGGAAACCUUGUUAUCUGGAAAAGCAAGAGGCAAGAUAUGUGUUCUCGAUCUGGUGCAGAGGAUGAGUAUAGAGCUAUUGUUAUGGAAGUGUCAGAGUUACUAUGGCUGAAAAUAUUGAUAGCUGAUAUCGGGAUAGAGAUUUGAGGACCUAUAAAGAUAUACUGUGACAACAAGUCUGCAAUCAACCUAGUUAAUAAUCCUGUACUACAUGACAGAAUAAAGCAUGUUGAGAUUGAUCGCCACUUUAUCCGUGAGAGGAUUGAUGCUAAAGAGUUAAUCUUACCUUACAUGAAGUCUGAAGACCAAACCGCUGAUGUUAUGACUAAAACUCUAUCUUCAACUUUUUUUGAGAGAAAUGUAUCCAAGUUAGGCAUGUUUGAUAUGUAUGCCCAACUUGAGGGGGAGUGUUGAAGCAUGUAAAGAUGGGUCUUGGGUCCAGACCCGAUCCAGCUUGUAGUCCUUGUUGGGCCUUAUUUAAAGACUUGUAACCCUAAUUUCUGAAGUGAAUGAAGUUUUAAGAGAGAGAGAGAGAGUCUGGCGGCUAGUGAGCACCAGACCUCCUCUCCCAUGGUUUUUUCUCCCUCUUGUUGAGGGUUUUUCCACGUUACAUCCGUGUUCUUCUCGCUUUUACUGUUUCUACAGUACCCAUACCUGAAGACAUGCCCGAAGACUGCAUUGAUUAAAAUUUUCUUCUUGGUGAGCAGAUUUUGACAUACAUAGACCUAUUCGUAAAUAACUGGUUUAUCCUAUG